UACGUAGGUGGCAAGCGUCGUCCGGAAUUAUUGGGCGUAAAGAGCAUGUAGGCGGGUAUUUAAGUCAGAUGUGAAAACUUGGGGCUCAACCUCAUAGACUGCAUUUGAAACUGGAUACCUUGAGGGUAAGAGAGGGCAGUGGAAUUCCUAGUGUAGCGGUGAAAUGCGUAGAUAUUAGGAGGAACACCAGUGGCGAAGGCGACUGCCUGGCUUACAACUGACGCUGAGAUGCGAAAGCGUGGGGAGCAAACAGG
rnacentral:rRNA from 1 species